rnacentral:lncRNA from 1 species
CUCAGCUGCAGGGCAUUGGGCAGCCAAUUAAAAGAAGCUAACAUGCAAGUAACAGUGGGGCACUUGUUCACUAAACCUUAUUGCCUGAGUGAAAGGCUAAGCCCCAGAAAGCUCCGCUCCACACCUGUUCUUUCUUGCCUCCUUUGUGAUCCAACUGUGAUGCCCUGGCUGGCUGUGCACCGUGACUGCUGUGGGAUGUUAUCCUCAUUAUUUCUCAAUCUGGAAGAGAAACUUGUACAUAUGCAUUUGAUUUCAUUGUUGAAAAAGCUAGGAACAAUACUAAGAAUUUUCUGGAUUUUGCUGUGCUUGUAAUCCACCUUUUGCAGGUAUGCCAGUGGUUGGGAAGGAGGUGUCCCUAUUCUAUGCUCUUCUGCUUUGCAUCACCCAUGUUUGCUCAUGUGUUGGAAUUUAGAAAGAAC